rnacentral:rRNA from 1 species
UCAAGCAAGAAAGCGCACAUGGUGGAUGCCAUGGCGUCAGGAGGCGAUGAAGGACGUGCUAAUCUGCGAAAAGCUGGGGUGAGCCGAUAAGGGGCGCUAUUAACCUCAGAUAUCCGAAUGGGGCAACCCGUCAUGAUAACAUGACAUUAUAUCAUAAGAUAUAAAGCGAACUGGGGGAAGUGAAACAUCUCAGUACCCCAAGGAAAAGAAAUCAAAAGAGAUUUCCUAAGUAGCGGCGAGCGAAAGGGAAGGAGCCCAAAAGUUGUUUAUGUAGCAGUGGAACACACUGGGAAGUGUGAGGAAACAGGGUGAUACUCCCGUACACGACUUUGCAUAGAUGAUGAUACAAGAGUAGGGCGGGACACGUGGUAUCCUGUCUGAAUAUGGGGGGACCAUCCUCCAAGGCUAAAUACUACCUGACGACCGAUAGUGAACCAGUACCGUGAGGGAAAGGCGAAAAGAACCCUGGUGAAGGGAGUGAAAGAGAGCCUGAAACCGUGUGCGUACAAGCAGUGGGAGCAUGUACGUUAAGUAUGUGUGACUGCGUACCUUUUGUAUAAUGGGUCAGCGAGUUGUCUGUAUUAGCGAGGUUAACUUUAAUGAGGGCCGUAGGGAAACCGAGUCUUAAUAGGGCGAACAGUUGAUACAGGCAGACCCGAAACUGGGUGAUCUAGUCCUGGACAGGCUGAAAGCAGGGUAACACCUGCCGGAGGGCCGAACCCACUAACGUUGCAAAGUUAGGGGAUGAUCUGGGACUAGGGGUGAAAGGCCAAUCAAACCCCAGUGAUAGCUGGUUCUCCCCGAAAGCUAUUUAGGUAGCGUCCUGUGAGGACGGACGGGGGUAGAGCACUGUUACGGCAAGGGGCCCAUCCCGGGUUGCCAAACCGUUGCAAACUACGAAUACCGUCCAGUUGGAAGCAGGGGACACACGGUGGGUGCUAACGUUCAUCGUGAAGAGGGAAACAACCCGGACCGCCAGCUAAGGUCCCAAAGUUCUGAUUAAGUGGGAAACGAUGUGGGAAGGCUAAGACAGCCAGGAUGUUGGCUUAGAAGCCCAUCAUUUAAAGAAAGCGUAAUAGCUCACUGGUCGAGUCGGCCUGCGCGGAAGAUGUAACGGGGCUCAAAUCAGACACCGAAGCUGCGGAUUUGCAGGAUACUGCAAGUGGUAGGGGAGCGUUCUGUAAACUGACGAAGAUGAGUCGAGAGGCGAGUUGGAGGUAACAGAAGUGCGAAUGCUGACGCAAGUAACGAUAAAACGGGUGAAAAACCCGUUCGCCGGAAGACCAAGGGUUCCUGUCCAACGUUAAUCGGGCAGGGGAGUCGGUGCCUAAGGCGAGGCUGAGAAGCGUAGUCGAAGGGAAACAGGUUAAUAUUCCUGUACCGCAUAUAGCUGCGAUGGGGUGACGGAGAAGGUUAGGUUGGCAGAAGAACGGUAGUUUCUGUGAAAGGCUGUAGGGAGCAUAUGGGUUAAAAGACAUGUGUGAAAAACUGAGAGCUGAGACGAAGUAUCUACGGAUAUGAAGCAACUGAUACCAGGCUUCCAGGAAAAGCCUCUAAGCUUCAGGUUAUAUGUGGCCGUACCCCAAACCGACACAGGUGGUCGGGUAGAGGAUACCAAGGCGCUUGGGAGAACCCGGGUGAAGGAACUAGGCAAAAAUGUACCGUAACUUCGGGAGAAGGUACGCUGUGAGCGGUGCAAUCUGCACAGAUGAAGCUGCACACAGCCGCAGAUAAAUGGUGGCUGGGACUGUUUAACAAAAACACAGCACUCUGCGAACCUGAAAGGGGAAGUAUAGGGUGUGACACCUGCCCGGUGCCGGAAGGUUAAAUGAUGGGGUCAGACGCAAGUUGAAGCCCUUGAGUGAAGCCCCGGUAAACGGCGGCCGUAACUAUAACGGUCCUAAGGUAGCGAAAUUCCUUGUCGGGCAAGUUCCGACCUGCACGAAUGGUGUAACCAUGGCCACGCUGUCUCCCCGGGACCCAGUGAAACCGAAAUCGCUGUGAAGAUGCAGUGUACCCGCGGCUAGACGGAAAGACCCCGUGAACCUUUACUGCAGCUUGACACUGAACCUUGAACCUGUUUGUGCAGGAUAGGCGGGAGACAUUGAAGUAGAAGCGCCAGCUUUUAUGGAGUCAACCUUGAAAUACCGCCCUGACAUGUUUGAGGUUCUAACUAAGUACAACACAUACGAGGACAGUGUCUGGUAGGCAGUUUGACUGGGGCGGUCUCCUCCCAAAGGGUAACGGAGGAGCACGAAGGUCAGCUGAUCACGGUCGGACAUCGUGAGGUCAGUGCAAUGGCAUAAGCUGGCUUGACUGCGAGAGGCACAUCUCGAGCAGGUGCGAAAGCAGGUCAUAGUGAUCCGGUGGUUCCACAUGGACGGGCCAUCGCUCAACGGAUAAAAGGUACUCUGGGGAUAACAGGCUGAUACCGCCCAAGAGUUCAUAUCGACGGCGGUGUUUGGCACCUCGAUGUCGGCUCAUCACAUCCUGGGGCUGAAGUUGGUCCCAAGGGUAUGGCUGUUCGCCAUUUAAAGUGGUACGCGAGCUGGGUUCAAAACGUCGUGAGACAGUUUGGUCCCUAUCUACCGCGGGCGUUGGAUGAUUGAGGGGGAUUGCUCCUAACGAGAGGACCGGAGUGAACGCGCCUCUGGUUUACGGGUUGUCAUGCCAAUGGCACGGCCCGGCAGCCAAGCGCGGAACUGAUAACCGCUGAAAGCAUCUAAGCGGGAAGCAGGCCCCAAGAUGAGUCAUCCCUGAGCUUUUAGCUCCUAAAGGUUCGUUGCAGACUACGACGUUGAUAGGCUGGAUGUGGAAGCGCAGUGAUGUGUGAAGCUUGCCAGUACUAAUUAACCGUGAGGCUUGGCCAU